rnacentral:snoRNA from 1 species
GUUGAGGUCUGUCCGGGUGGGGCUUUUUCUGUAGCCACACAUAGUGGGAAACACCUCAUACCUCAUAGGGUAACACUAUGGUUUUGCUUUACUCUCACAGGACUGUUUGUUAGAUCUGUGUUCCCAGGAACUACAAGACAGUU